rnacentral:rRNA from 1 species
UACGGAGGAUGCAAGCGUUAUCCGGAAUGAUUGGGCGUAAAGCGUCCGCAGGUGGUUUGGCAAGUCUGCUGUCAAAGAACUCGGCUUAACUGGGUAAAGGCGGUGGAAACUGCGAGACUAGAGUGUAUUCGGGGCAAGAGGAAUUCCUGGUGUAGCGGUGAAAUGCGUAGAUAUCAGGAAGAACAUCGGUGGCGAAGGCGUCUUGCUAGGCUACAACUGACACUGAGGGACGAAAGCUAGGGGAG